CCUUCAAUUUCCCGUGCGGCGCAUCAGCUCUCAACCCUACCCCCAUUUUCUUCAACCUAAAAUAGUAAACCCCCAAUUUCUCUCAUAUUUUCGCUCUAACUUUUACCCCAAUUUCUUCAAUUUUCUUACCGGAAUCUGCUUCAAAUAUGUAUCAACCAAACCAUUUAGCAUAAUGGAACCAAAAAAUUCAUGAAAUAAAACCCUAGAAAGUUCAAAUUUCAAAUUCGAGUGAAGUAACGAAUGGAUCGAAACGACGAACAAGAGAUUCAGCGUAAAGUGACACACGAAAGAACAAGGUCAUUAAUAGUGGAUUAUCUAACAAUUUAAGCAUUUUUUCGUUAAUUUUGUUUAUAUUUGUUGAUUUUCUUUUUAUUUUCGUUUUUUCAAAAAAUAAUGAUUUCGAUUUGAUAUAUAAGGAUUUAUAUUUGUUGAUUUUCUUUUUAUUUUCGUUUUUUCAAAAAAUAAUGAUUUCGAUUUGAUAUAUAAGGAUCUUAAUUUCUUUUGUGUUGUGAUUUAUAAUGAUAUUUGUUGAUAUUUCGAUUUUCGAUUUUCGAUUUUUCAAAAAAUAAUGAUUUCGAUUGGAUUUUGGUGAAGAAGAUGAUGAUGGAGGAGAGAGAAAGGCAUAUGGGGUUUCAUACGCUUUAUACCUCACCGGUGCCUAGCCCAACAUUUUAUCCAAUUCUACCCAUUCUAACCAUCUCACUCACUUCACCUUUUCUGAUUUCAUAUGACAAACCAAAAGCGAGAAAUACAAAAAGAAAUAACUACCACUACAAGAAAAUGCGUAGUUUCCGACUGAUUUUACCGACCGCCACAAAUUUAGACGGUAAAAUAAAAUUUACCAACCGCUAAAAGCGUGGUCAGUAUAAAUUAAAUUUACCAAAUGCAAUAUAACAGUCGCUAUUUUUAACGUCCGUUUUUAAACAAUAAAGACAAUUACGCAGACGGUAAAAAAAAAUACCGACCGUUUUUAAAAGAAAAUUUACCGACUGCAUUUUACCAUAUACUGACCGUCAAUUGUAUUUUUCCUUUUUUUUAAUUUAAUAAAGCCAAAUUUUAAGAAAUACCCUAAAAUCUACCCUAAUCCCCACCCAACCCCUCCUCAGCCGCCCAACCUUUUCUCUCACCUACCUCAUCUCUUUCUCUCACCUACGGUCCUUUCUCACCCACCCCCCUCUCUCUCUCUCUCAACAUCUUCAUCUCCAUUUUUUUUUUCGUUUCAUGUAACCUAACAUAAUAAAAAACAUCAAAAUAAAAACAAUAAAAAAGAAAUUGGAAGAACUACAAAUUCGAAGAACAGGGAAUUACAAAAAGUCAUUCUUCGUUUGUCCUCGGAGAUCUUCGAAGUUUCCAACUUAAAGGAAGGGAGGGAUCAACGCAAAGUUGAAGGAUUUAAUCUUUGAAAAAGGAAAAAUCGGAAUGGCAGGAAAGCAAGUAGAUUCGGCGACUUAAAUGUUGGAUCUGGGCUUUAAUCAUGUCCUUUGUUGAUAGCACGAGCCGUAGAUUUGAUGAUUUGGGAAGAACAAGGAAAGAAAGAAAUUCGAGGAUACAUAGUCUGAGGUUUAUGUUUAGUUUUAGGUCUAUUUUUACUCAUCUUUGUAAUUGUAAGUGAAUUAUUUCAUGAUAAUAAAAUUUCUUUUUCGCUACUUUGCAUUUGC